AUUUUUCUUAAUCCUCCAGUUGUCUUCUUACCCCUUUUCCUCUUCUAGACUAAAAUUCCAUGGAACCUCAGUCAUGGACAGAUUUUGUUUGCCCCAUUUUUGUGCAAGUCUCUCAGACACUUAUCUCUCUCUCCUCUUCAACGGGCAAGUCAAUAUAUGAAGCCAAAAGACUUCUGAAAUUUUGAUUCUCUAAGUCUGAAGGAUUGAUUUCUCAGAUAUUUGUUUUGAUUUUCAAAUGGCUCCUUACAGACCCUCAAAUUCAAAUUUCAAAUGCUAGGGGGGUAAAAAUCCCACCAAAAGAACCCUAGAAUCUACCUAUAAAUACCAAGCCAUUGCAGCCAUUAGGGACAAGCUCGGGGCCUCACAUUUACCCCCACAAAAGGCUGGAGCCACCCCUUUAUCCCCUCUAAGUUAAAGCUUCAGCCCCCUUCUUUAACCUGAAGCUCUGGGCCGCCCACUUUCACCCGCAAAGUUGGAAGCUUCAGCUCCCUCUAACCUUUGUUUAGCUGUCAUCCCUUCCUCUCAAAAUUUCCUUCUUUUUAAUAUCUAAGUUCUGUUGGUUUUAACCAAAAUAGAAACAUUUUUUAUUUCUUUGUCCUAGCGAUUAACGUUGGUUCGAGGUAGAGAGUCUAAGGUCAGAGUUUGAUAGUGCACCUUAGAUCCCCGCCUCAAUUCGCUGCCCUGCAAGAGGUUUGUAUCUUCUUCUCCUUUGCUAUAGUUUGGUUCUGAUUAGAGCAUGUUUGAUACUUGGUGCUUGCUUGUUUCAAGAGUUGUUAGUUUCUGUUAAGUUUCCACGUUUUAAUACUAUAUAGAUGGGCGUUCUACUUUUACUUCUGUUUAUCCUUAGUUUGAUGGAAUAAUCUUGUGGUUAAAAGUUGAUAGGAAUAAUUUUUUAAGAGAUUCUUAUUGAUGGGAACAUGCCUGACCAAUAUUUGAUGAAAUGCUCAUAUGAAAAUACCUAUUUCCUUUUGCAUACUUCUCUGUUAGAUGCCAUGAUUUUAAGAAGGAUUUUAUCAUGAGCUAGUCGCCCUGCAAAAGGUUUAUUUGCCAUUGUGAUUUAAGACCUUUUUUCCUAGACAUCGUGCUUAAAAUUUCAAACAAUUUGUUUAAGAAUAGGUUUAUUUAAAUGCACACUGUUAAGUGAAGACUUGAUUUACUUUAGUAUUAGCUAUCCAAAAUUCUUUCUUUAGGAAACAUAGUUAUAGAAUUUUUGUGCCUAUUUCUUUGUGCUGGUUAGUGUUUGGAUUUAAAAGUAUCGAUGACUUUGUUAAGAUAAAAUUUAUGUCUUGAUAAAAUAUGUCCAUGUUACUGUGUGAUUAUCACUGGAAGUUUAUAUUUCAGUUAUUUGAGAGUUUUUGCUACUAGUCUAAAUAGAUGGAAAUAUUUAUCUUUCAUAUAGUUGUGUGUUUGUCUGAUGACAAGAAGUAUGGCUGGAAUUUCAUAAAAUAAUUUAACACUAGGACGCCUUUACAUAUUUUAAUCUUGAUAUAUUGUUAAUAAUCAAGUUCCACUCUCUAAUCCUUCUUAUCCUUACAUAUGUUAAUUGAACUCUUACGUUAUUUUGCUAAUUGUUUAUUUCUCUCUUCCUUUACAUGUACAUUUUGGAGCAUAAUGGAGUCUUAAUGCUAGACUCCCAUACCCGCAUAUGGUGUCUUAAUUCGGAACUCGCAAAGAUGGAGUCUCAUCACCACCAGAUAGAGUCAAUACACGACAUAUCAUCCUUAGAAUGUACUGGAUAGCAGAAAAUCAAGCGAAAUGUUUGGGGGCGCCUAUGGCAUCCUUCUUUUUGUUUUUAUCACUCAUUUUAUCUUAAUUUUUGUAAUUGCCGAUUUACGUCUUUUGUGUUUUCUUAAUUUUUGAAAUUUUAUGUUGGAGGCUAUUAUUAACAUAGAAGAAAUAGCUUAGUCUUAUUUAUUUAGUAUUUUCACCCUAUUUAUGAGUAUCGUACUUAUUUUAUCACUUGGAAUACCACGCCUAUUUUAAGGACUAUUUAAAAUAGUAGCUUAAUA
rnacentral:lncRNA from 1 species